CCAGGAGGUAGACCAAGGAAGGAACCGCGAUCUUUGGUAGAACCUCUCUCACAAGGACGCUCGCAAGCGUAUCAACAGACGCAUCAACGAUAGAGCGACACACCAAAAUGUGUGCCGCAUCAAGUACGAUGCAGCACACGGCCCUCCUAGCCUAAAACAGUUCUCUAAGCAUCUCCGACAAGUCGUUUGGCCCCUGUUGACACUUCUUAACGCAACCACCGGAUAUCGGCGACGGCGCCAGAAGUGCCCUGGUAGGGUAACUCUAUUUACUAUUGGAUAAUUCCGCAAGCGCAC
rnacentral:lncRNA from 1 species